CAGCGGCAAACGGGUGAGUAACACGUAGGUAAUAUGCCAUUCAGUGGGGAGCAGCCCUGGGAAACCAGGAUUAAUACCGCAUACGAUUUUCGGGUGAUGCCUGAAAAUGAAAGGCCUUCGGGCCGCUGAUUGAUUAGCCUGCGGUCCAUUAGCUUGUUGGUGGGGUAAUGGCCUACCAAGGCAGUGAUGGAUAGCCGGCCUGAAAGGGCGACCGGCCACACUGGGACUGAGACACGGCCCAGACUCC
rnacentral:rRNA from 1 species